CAGUAGCCGCGGUAAUACGUAGGGUGCAAGCGUUAAUCGGAAUUACUGGGCGUAAAGCGUGCGCAGGCGGUUAUAUAAGACAGAUGUGAAAUCCCCGGGCUCAACCUGGGAACUGCAUUUGUGACUGUAUAGCUAGAGUACGGCAGAGGGGGAUGGAAUUCCGCGUGUAGCAGUGAAAUGCGUAGAUAUGCGGAGGAACACCGAUGGCGAAGGCAAUCCCCUGGGCCUGUACUGACGCUCAUGCACGAAAGCGUGGGGAGCAAACAGGAUUAGAUACCCCUGUAGUCCUUGUCUCUUAUAC
rnacentral:rRNA from 1 species